UGCUGGAGGUAUCAGAAGUGCGAAUGCUGACAUAAGUAACGAUAAUGCGGGUGAAAAGCCCGCACGCCGGAAGACCAAGGGUUCCUGUCCAACGUUAAUCGGGGCAGGGUGAGUCGACCCCUAAGGCGAGGCCGAAAGGCGUAGUCGAUGGGAAACAGGUUAAUAUUCCUGUACUUGGUGUUACUGCGAAGGGGGGACGGAGAAGGCUAUGUUAGCCGGGCGACGGUUGUCCCGGUUUAAGCAUGUAGGCGGGAGUUUUAGGUAAAUCCGGAACUCUUCUAACGCUGAGGUGUGAUGACGAGGCACUACGGUGCUGAAGUAACAAAUGCCCUGCUUCCAGGAAAAGCCUCUAAGCAUCAGGUAACAUCAAAUCGUACCCCAAACCGACACAGGUGGUCAGGUAGAGAAUACCAAGGCGCUUGAGAGAACUCGGGUGAAGGAACUAGGCAAAAUGGUGCCGUAACUUCGGGAGAAGGCACGCUGAUAUGUAGGUGAAGCCCCUGCGGGUGGAGCUGAAAUCAGUCGAAGAUACCAGCUGGCUGCAACUGUUUAUUAAAAACACAGCACUGUGCAAACACGAAAGUGGACGUAUACGGUGUGACGCCUGCCCGGUGCCGGAAGGUUAAUUGAUGGGGUUAGCGGCAACGCGAAGCUCUUGAUCGAAGCCCCGGUAAACGGCGGCCGUAACUAUAACGGUCCUAAGGUAGCGAAAUUCCUUGUCGGGUAAGUUCCGACCUGCACGAAUGGCGUAAUGAUGGCCAGGCUGUCUCCACCCGAGACUCAGUGAAAUUGAACUCGCUGUGAAGAUGCAGUGUACCCGCGGCAAGACGGAAAGACCCCGUGAACCUUUACUAUAGCUUGACACUGAACACUGGUCCUUGAUGUGUAGGAUAGGUGGGAGGCUUUGAAGCGUGGACGCCAGUCUGCGUGGAGCCAACCUUGAAAUACCACCCUUUAAUGGCUGGUGUUCUAACGUAGACCCGUAAUCCGGGUUGCGGACAGUGUCUGGUGGGUAGUUUGACUGGGGCGGUCUCCUCCCAAAGAGUAACGGAGGAGCACGAAGGUUAGCUAAUCCUGGUCGGACAUCAGGAGGUUAGUGCAAUGGCAUAAGCUAGCUUGACUGCGAGAGUGACGGCUCGAGCAGGUGCGAAAGCAGGUCAUAGUGAUCCGGUGGUUCUGAAUGGAAGGGCCAUCGCUCAACGGAUAAAAGGUACUCCGGGGAUAACAGGCUGAUACCGCCCAAGAGUUCAUAUCGACGGCGGUGUUUGGCACCUCGAUGUCGGCUCAUCACAUCCUGGGGCUGAAGUAGGUCCCAAGGGUAUGGCUGUUCGCCAUUUAAAGUGGUACGCGAGCUGGGUUUAGAACGUCGUGAGACAGUUCGGUCCCUAUCUGCCGUGGGCGCUGGAGAAUUGAGGGGGGCUGCUCCUAGUACGAGAGGACCGGAGUGGACGCAUCACUGGUGUUCGGGUUGUCAUGCCAAUGGCAUUGCCCGGUAGCUAAAUGCGGAAGAGAUAAGUGCUGAAAGCAUCUAAGCACGAAACUUGCCCCGAGAUGAGUUCUCCCUGACCCUUUAAGGGUCCUGAAGGAACGUUGAAGACUACGACGUUGAUAGGUCGGGUGUGUAAGCGCAGCGAUGCGUUGAGCUAACCGAUACUAAUGAACCGUGAGGCUUAACCUU
rnacentral:rRNA from 1 species